rnacentral:tRNA from 1 species
ACUUGAAUAGCUUAUAUAGAGCAUAACAUUGAAGAUGUUAAUGAAAUUUAUUAAAUUUUUAAGUG